rnacentral:rRNA from 1 species
UACGUAGGGGGCAAGCGUUACCCGGAAUUACUGGGUGUAAAGCGCGCGCAGGCGGUUAUUUAAGUUAGAUGUGAAAUCCCAAGGCUCAACUUUGGAACUGCAUCUGAAACUGGGUAACUAGAGUGUGGGAGAGGAAAGCGGAAUUCUCGGUGUAGCGGUGAAAUGCGUAGAGAUUGAGAGGAACACCGGUGGCGAAGGCGGCUUUCUGGACCAUAACUGACGCUGAGGCGCGAAAGCGUGGGGAGCAAACAGG